GAUGAACGCUGGCGGCGUGCCUAAUACAUGCAAGUCGAGCGAACAGACGAGUCGCUUGCUCGUCUGACGUUAGCGGCGGACGGGUGAGUAACACGUGUAUAACCUACCUAUAAGACUGGGAUAACUUCCUGAAACCGGAGCUAAUACCGGCAAAUAUAUGGAACCGCAUGGAUCAAUAGUGUAAGGCGUCUUUGCUGUCACUUAUCGAUGGAUCCGCGGCGCAUUAGCUAGUUGGUAAGCUAACGGCUUACCCAGGCACUGAUGCGUAGCCGAGCUGAGAGGGAGAACCGACACUGUGAAACUGAGACACGCUACAGACUCCUGCGGGAGGCAGGUGGAGGGAAUCGUCCGAAAUGGGCGAAAGCGUGGCGGAGCAACGGCGCGUGAGAGAUGAAGGUCCGCGGAGCGAAAAACUCUGUUAGGAGAGAAAAACAAAUGUGUAAGUAACUAUGCACGUUUAGAUGGUACGCAAUAAAAAAGCCACGGAAAACUACG
rnacentral:rRNA from 1 species